AAAUUGAAGAGUUUGAUCAUGGCUCAGAUUGAACGCUGGCGGCAGGCCUAACACAUGCAAGUCGAGCGGAAACGACACUAACAAUCCUUCGGGUGCGUUAAUGGGCGUCGAGCGGCGGACGGGUGAGUAAUGCCUAGGAAAUUGCCUUGAUGUGGGGGAUAACCAUUGGAAACGAUGGCUAAUACCGCAUGAUGCCUACGGGCCAAAGAGGGGGACCUUCGGGCCUCUCGCGUCAAGAUAUGCCUAGGUGGGAUUAGCUAGUUGGUGAGGUAAUGGCUCACCAAGGCGACGAUCCCUAGCUGGUCUGAGAGGAUGAUCAGCCACACUGGAACUGAGACACGGUCCAGACUCCUACGGGAGGCAGCAGUGGGGAAUAUUGCACAAUGGGCGAAAGCCUGAUGCAGCCAUGCCGCGUGUAUGAAGAAGGCCUUCGGGUUGUAAAGUACUUUCAGUUGUGAGGAAGGGUGUGUAGUUAAUAACUGC
rnacentral:rRNA from 1 species